rnacentral:rRNA from 1 species
AUUGAACGCUGGCGGCAGGCCUAACACAUGCAAGUCGAACGAGUGGCGGACGGGUGAGUAAUGUCUGGGAAACUGCCUGAUGGAGGGGGAUAACUACUGGAAACGGUAGCUAAUACCGCAUACCAUCAGAUGUGCCCAGAUGGGCUUAGCUAGUUGGUGGGGUAACGGCUCACCAAGGCGACGAUCCCUAGCUGGUCUGAGAGGAUGACCAGCCACACUGGAAAUGAGAAACGGUGCAGACUCCUAAGGGAGGGAGCAGGGGGGAAUAUUUGAACAAGGGCGCAAGGCUGAUGCAGCCAUGCCGCGUGUAUGAAGAAGGCCUUCGGGUUGUAAAGUACUUUCAGCGGGGAGGCGUUACCCGCAGAAGAAGCACCGGCUAACUCCGUGCCAGCAGCCGCGGUAAUUC